rnacentral:misc_RNA from 1 species
AGCCAAUCCCGUGCAUCUUCUCUCUCCGCUCUCCAGGAUUGUGACUUUGAUGAUGGUUGAACGUGGAAGAGCAGAGGAGAAAAUGGAGACAGGAAAAGCUUUUCUUCAAUGCAAAGUUCUUUCUCUCUAUUUGCAAAUGGGCCCAUUAUCAAUCACAAUCCUAAGACCCAACUGUCACGUAUUCUAUUUCUGCCACUACUCUCUCUUUCUCCUCUCCUUGCCAGCAUAAACUUUGAGCCUUCAACUUUCACUUUCACACUUGCCACAACUUCUAUUCAUCCUCCACUUUUCUCAAGUCUUUAAUGCCUGCCUAUACGAGAAUAAUUUCGCCUAAAAAAUAAUGGGUCGGUGCAAGAUAAGCACUUUAGUCUUCUAUUCCUCCUCUCCUUUUCUGCUUGUCAAAAGAUACCCACUUAUACCCACCCCAUCCUCAAAAUGACAUGAGUCCUGUUUUUACCUUGUCAUAUACUAGAAAACUCAUUGAAAUUCGUCUGGUUUUUUGUUUUUUUUUUUGCUGGAUUUAUUUAUUUUUAAAAUUUUUUGGGGAUUUUUUUUCUCUGAGUUGGGGACAAUUCGGUCCCUGUUUCGGCAUCUCUACUGUUAUUGUCGCUUUUUUUUUGCCUUGUAAUUUUGUGAUUUUUCUUCCUUUUGGCUUGAAGCAUUUCUCUCAGAAUUUGGUGAAUAUUGAUUUGGGUGUUGAGGAAAAAGCUGGCAUACUGGUGCUGACUGCUAAUUGAUGAAAAUUAAGGUUGUAAUUAGGAGUUCCAGAUAUUAGCAUCGAAAGCAAGCUUUCAGUUGAUAAAGCCAGAAGCCGAAUAUAGUCAUUGCUUUGAAUAUUGGUCUUAUGGUGUAACCGAAGGCAAGCUUUUACACCAAGAUUCUGAUUAUUGAUUAAUUUUGCUGAUCCGUGAAAUUCAGAAGCUGAUUUCCUCUGCCGUGACCCACUCGUGAUUUUGAACUAUAACAGUUCUUUUCGUUAAAGGGAAGAUCAAAGUAUCUAAAGCUUGAGGCAGUGAGGAACUUCAGGCGCUGUUUAAGGCUUGUGAAGGAAAUAAGAAGCUUUUCAAUAACUUGCAAUCCACAGAAAGCUUAGGCUAUAUCUUGAGCUUGACGCGUCUGAGGAAGCUUCACUUGUUGAAAUUGGAAUUUUUUUCACUUUCCUUUGGUCUGGUAUACCUGGCCGCAUUGUUGUCCUUCUUGGCCUCAUCGAGACUGAGAUUUAAAGUGAACACACUAGUGAAAAUAUUUGUAUGAACAAAGAAUAUUAAAGAAUCAAACAUUCACCAUGGCAAAGAAAUCUCAGAGACGCCCCAUCCGACAUGAAAGGGACCAAUCGGGCUGUAUGUGGGGUUUAAUUAGUAUGUUUGACUUCCGCCACGGUCGAUCAACUAAGAGGCUGCUUUCAGAUAGGAAACGUGGGCCCAGGCAUAUUGUUGCUGCUGGGAAUGCUAAGAAUAAGCCUUUCUUGUUAACCAAUCUGGAUCAAAAUUCUCAGCGCAUCAUUGGUGGUGAAGAGAGUGUAGCAGCAGUUGCUGCUAGUAAGCCAAGUGUGAAGAAACUCAUGGAAGAAGAGAUGUUCUGUGAGAAAGACUUAAAGAAGGAGAUAAACAGUGUUGAAAUGGAAACAAAACAGUCUACUUCAGAAUCUGGAGGCAACAAAAGGAAAAACCGCAAAAGAACAAGUAGAAGUCGCUCACGAAGCUGUGAGAUAUACAUAGAAGAUCUGGAUGCUGCUGAGAACUUGGAACCUGAAAAGCCUUGCCUUCAGAAUUCAGAAAAGCAAUCUAAUAAUAUUCUUGAUAUGGAUGAUUUGAUGGAAGAGUUCUGUCGCCAGAUUCAUCACACUAGUUGCUUAACGCAUGAUCAGCAUGAUGAAGUUCACAGCCAACCAAACUGGAAGAAUUCUGACUUUGAAGAAAAAUUGAGUGAGGCAAUCAAAAUUUUUAUAAGUCAGAGGCUCAUCAAUGGGAAACAUGUUACAGGUGAUGAGGAAAUAUUCCCUUCCAAAGAGCUCAAGGAUGCACUCAGGAUUCUAAGUUCUGAUGAGGAAUUAUCUCUGAAACUCUUACAAGGUCCAAAGUCGGUAAUGGUGAAAUAUGUUGAGAACUUGUGGAAUGCUCACAUAGGGAAAGAUAACGUCUCCAAGCCACUUUCAGGAUCAAACUUGUCAGGACAGGAGAUUCAUGGCUUAAAACAGUCUGAUGAGGUUAUCCAUGGUAAACAGCGCAAGUUUUUCAGGAGGAAGGCCAAAUCUCUAGAAAAGAACCAAUCAAAGGAAAUUAAACCUUCUCAAGCUUCAAAUAGGAUUGUCAUUUUAAAGCCUGGACCUAUAGGAGUGCAAAAACCAGAAACUGAAGGAAGAGUUGGUUCAUCUCCAGAAUCGCAAAUUACCAUAAGAAACAAGGGACCAAAUGAAAGAGUUGGUUCCUACUUUUUUUUCACUGAAAUUAAAAGAAGGUUAAAACAAGCCAUGGGGAAAGAGCAACAAGAGAUCGCUUCUGAUGGCAUUUCAAAGAGAUUACCUAACAAACUUCAAGCUAGGGGAGAUAGUGAUAAAAGAUAUAAAGAGAAUGUUGGAAGUUCUCCAAGUAAGGACCACUUCUUUAUUGAAAAAGUUGCCAGGCCUCCAACUGGUGUCAAAAAGGAAGAGAAGAAUGACAAGUUGAAAGAAUGUGAAACAGGUUUGAAGCAUGAAGCUGCUACUUAUCCCAAGGAAAGAUUAUCUAACAUUUAUGUCCAGGCCAAGAAGCAUCUCUCUGAGAUGCUUCCCACUGGGAUUGGGGAUGUGGAUUUUUCAAGCAGACAGGUUCCAAGAACCCUAGGGAGGAUUCUUUCUCUUCCUGAGUACAAUUUCUCUCCCAUUGGCAGUCCUGGAAGGGAUUGGGAGCAAAGCCUUGUUACUGCACAGAUGAGAUUUUCUGCCAAUGAAAAUUUUCAGAAGCAAGAAAACAAUGUUGACCAUCUUGGUCGAAUGACACUAAACUCAGAGACUGAGUUGUGUAUUUCUUAUGACAGUACUGAUAAUAAAUCAAGAGCCUCUCCAAACCGAAAUUCAAGCACAGCAAAUGAACUCGCCCAGGAUAAUGAAGUGGAGAAAAUCUUGUGUUCUGUUGGAGAUGGGAUGACUUCAGAAGGUGAUGUGGAUAUUGUAAAAGUAGCUGAAAUUGUAGUACAAGAAGACGGCAAUAUCUUGGAUACUCUUUCUGAACCAAGUGACUCUUCCAGGACUAGAGAUGACCAAAAUGGUGACAUGUCUGAAGUUUGUGAUGAAAAAAGACAUUCUGUAUGCUUGGAACAUGAUUUACUUGAACAGAACCAAGCUUCAUCUUCUGCAAUAACAUCCCCAUCUACCUCUACAAUCACCAAGAAGGAUGACAAUCUAGAAGGUAUUGUAGAAGCAUUAGAGCGGCCAAGUCCUGUAUCUGUCCUUGAGCCACUUUUCAUAGAGGAGGAAAUCAGCCCAGCAAGAACCAGAUUCCAACCUGGUAGGAAAUCAUACAAAAGUUCAGUUGCUUCAAAUAUUUGUUUGACUUAACAUCAAAUGAUGUUAAUAACAAUUCAUUCAUUUAUCUUAAGCUGAACUGCGAAUUCAACCCCAAAGAAUUCAGUUUGAAGAGCAUGUCCCUUCAGCUGCUGAUAUAGGCACUCAUUUGAAAGCUUAUAUAGCAGACAAGGAAUCAAUAUUUGAAUAUGUGAAAGCAGUGCUGCAAGCCUCUGGAGAGAAUUGGGAUGAGUUCUAUAUCAUGUCCAAUUCUUGUGACCCACUUCUUGACCCAUCAAUAUUUGAUGAGGUAUGGUCCUUUCCGAACCAGCUUUCUUAUGACAGGAAACUUAUCUUUGAUUGUAUUAAUGAAGUUCUCAUGGAGGUAUAUGGGCGCUAUUUCGGUUGCCCCCUUGGGUUAUCAUUUGCAAAACCUACCAUCCGACCUGCGCCAGACAUGGAAAAUGCUAUUCGUGAGGUAUGGGAAGGAGUGUAUUGGUAUCUCCUCCCAUUGCCACUACCUCGUACAUUAGAGCAGAUAGUCAAGAAAGACAUGGCUAAAACUGGGACAUGGAUGGACCUUCGAUAUGAUAGUGAAACUAUCAUCAUUGAGAUCGGUGAAGCCAUUUUUAAAGAUCUGGUGGAAGAAACUACAUUAAGCUGUGUAAAUGAAUGUUCAGAAAGUGGAAAUCCUUCAAUUGCAGCUGAAUCCAAGGAUCAGAGUAGCAUCGAUUUGUAAAUUACAUUUUACUUGUGUUUGUUCUUACCAAUAAUUGAGCUCCAUUGUUUCUGGGUGGGAGGAGGAGCAGUUUCAUCUCAGCAGGCUUCAUUUGUCCCUUCUGGGAUGUCCUGGACACGGCUUGACAGAGGCUUUCUUUCUAACUUUGCCAUUGAGAUCAUGUAUAUAUCAAACAGUUCUAACAUUGUCAAAGCACGAUAGCUUGGGAGCUCUACUAGGCAGAUAUCCUCAAAUGAAGUAUUCAUGCUUCGUGGGCAGGAAUCAGGAGCCCAAUCAGCAAGUACUUCUUGUUAUCAAGCAAAGACUACUUGAUUUCCAUGGCAAUUUUUUCAACCAUGACCGGAUAGGCACCUUACACUCAGUUGACAAUAGAACUAUUAUCAUUGUAGACUUGUAGAUUAUGGUGUGUUGAUUGUGUCAGUUAAGGCAGUGUAUGUUGUUAACCUUGUUAUUUCUUGGUUCUUUUUGCCCUGAUUUCAUUCUUUCUUCUGUCAAGUUCUUGUUUCUUUUACCUCUCUCCUUUAUUUAUGAAGUUGGGGUUGCUGUGAAUUUGUGACUAUUUGGAUGUAUUAUAGGGGGUAAUUUUGCACGAGUGUUGUAUGCAAUUAACAAGCUAUUGUUGCUAUGUUCUGAUUUAUGAAUAAUUAAUACAGGUAAUAUAUGGAAUACAUGUG